rnacentral:tmRNA from 1 species
AGCCUUUUACAUCGGCGACGAGGUGCCUAUAUCAGCUCUCGUCGGGUUCCACCCGACUAUGGCGAUAAAUCGUGGCGUAGAAUAGACGCAGCGGACCCGGGGGCGGUACCCGGCGGCUCCACCAUCGCAGCUGAGGUGCUUAGGCCACGCUUUCCACGCGCGGUGACGGGCCACAGCUUCGCUGACGGGGCCGAAACAGAAUCGACGUGUGUUGAAAGGCGCUGCUUUCGCUCGGAAUGGGACCACCGCAACGGCCCAUUACACAAGUGCCAACGAUAACGAAGCACUCGCGAUUGCGGCGUAACUGAGGGCUUAACGGCCUAAAGUUACACCAAAAUAGCGCGGUUCGGACCCCACCGGGCAACAGAAGGGGAAACCA